ensembl:snRNA LOC120102616 U7 small nuclear RNA
ACCUAUUAUAACUCUUUUAGAAAUUUUCUAGCAGCUUUUCUAACUUUAGUCAGAAAACCCAU